AAAUCUACCUUGUGAGAUGGUUCUGCCUGAACAAGCGUGACGGCGGAUGAAAUGGGAACACGGUGCGGCGUACCCAACAGGGACCAAUACCGUGGCUGCCCCCGCAACUGUAAGCGGUGAGCGAUGCCCUUCAGCCACUGGCCUUUUGGCCGGGAAGGCGGGCGGAGCUGAGACCCGUGAGCCAGGAGACCUGCCAUCCGACGGUUUUUUGC
rnacentral:ncRNA from 2 species